rnacentral:rRNA from 1 species
GGCUCAGUAACACGUAGUCAACCUACCUUAAGGACGGGGAUACCCUCGGGAAACUGAGGUGAAACCCCGAUGGGCCAGGAAAUCUGGAAUGAUUCCUGGUUUAAACAGCGCGCGAAACGCAGCGUUGCUGCCUUAAGAUGGGACUGCGGCCGAUCAGGCUGUUGGUGAGGUAACGGCUCACCAAACCUAUAAUCGGUAGGGGCUAUGGGAGUAGGAGCCCCGAGACGGGCACUGAGACAAGGGCCCGAGCCCUACGGGGUGCAGCAGGCGCGAAACUUCCGCAAUGCGCGAAAGCGUGACGGGGGUAGUCCGAGUGCCGUCCUAACGGACGGCUUUUAGCGAGCCUGAUACGCUCGUUGAAUAAGUGGUGGGUAAAUCCUGUGCCAGCCGCCGCGGUAACACAGGUAGCACAAGUGGUAUCCACGAAUAUUGAGCUUAAAGCGCCCGUAGCCGGCUCGUCAAGUUUCCUGUGAAAUCUUCAGGCUUAACCUGAAGGCGUGCAAGAAAUACUAACGGGCUCGGGAGUGGGGGAGGCAUGGGGUACUGUAGGGGGAGGAGUAAAAUCCUGUAAUCCUUGCAGGACCGCCAGUGGCGAAAGCGCCAUGCCAAAACACGUCCGACGGUGAGGGACGAAAGCUAGGGGAGCAAAUCGGGUUAGAUACCCGAGUAGUCCUAGCAGUAAAUGAUGCAGACUUGGCGUCGCAUCCGCUUCGUGCGGAUGCGUGCCGUAGGGAAACCGUUAAGUCUGCCGCUUGGGGAGUACG